rnacentral:misc_RNA from 1 species
GGGUAUCCCUACCUGAUCCGAGGUCAACCUGAAAAAAAUUGGGGGUUGCUGGCAAGCACACGACCGGACCUCCAGAGCGAGAAGAAUUACUACGCUCGGAGCCGGACGGCACCGCCACUGACUUUAGGGCCCGCCGGGGCGGCGGGGCCCAACACCAAGCUGAGCUUGAGGGUUGUAAUGACGCUCGGACAGGCAUGCCCCCCGGAAUACCAGGGGGCGCAAUGUGCGUUCAAAGACUCGAUGGUUCACGGGAUUCUGCAAUUCACACCAAGUAUCGCAUUUCGCUGCGUUCUUCAUCGAUGCGUCCUUGAUAGG